UCCUGCUGAUCCUGCAGGAGAUCGCUGCUAUUAGAGUUCGACUAAGCCAUGCAAGUCAGGUAGCAAUACCGGCGAAAUGCUCAGUAACAUGUCACUAACUUGCCCUUAAGUCUAGGAUACCCUUGGGAAACUGAGGUUAACACUGGAUAGGGAAUUAUUUCUGGAAUGAUUUUUUCCUGAAAAGAAAUGCUUAAGGAUAGGGUGGCACCGGAUUAGGCAGUUGGCGGUGUAAUGGACCACCAAACCUACGAUCCGUACGGGGGAUGAGAGUCCUAGCCCGGAGAGGGACACUGAGAUACUGGUCCCAGCCCUACGGGGUGCAGCAGGCGCGAAACCUUUACAAUGCACGAAAGUGUGAUAAGGGAACUCUAAGUGCUCAUGCAAUGCAUGGGCUUUUGCCAAAGGUAAAUACUUUGGCGAAUAAGUGGUGGGUAAGACUGGUGCCAGCCGCCGCGGUAACACCAGCGCCACAAGUGGGGAUCAGGUUUAUUUGGCCUAAAGCGUCCGUAGCAGGUUUUGUAAAUUUCUUGUUAAACUACUAUGCUUAACAUAGUAAUCGCAGGAAACACUGCAGAACUAGGAACUGGUAGGAGUAAGCGGUAUUUCUGGGGGAGCGGUAAAAUGUUAUAAUCCCAGAAGGACCACCUGUGCCGAAGGGGGCUUACUAGAACAGAUUUGACUGUGAGGGACGAAAGCUAGGGGAGCAAAAAGGAUUAGAUACCCUUGUAGUCCUAGCCGUAAACACUGCGAGCUAGAUAUGGCAUAAACUCCGAGUUUGUGCUGUAUCGAAAUGAAGAUGCAAGCUCGCCGCCUGGGAAGUAUAGUCGCAAGUCCGAAACUUAAAGGAAUUGGCGGGGGAGCACUACAAGGGGUGCGGCGUGCGGUUUAAUCGAAUUCAACGCCGGAAAUCACACCAGGAGCGACGGCAGGAAGAAGGUCAGUCUAAAGGGCUUACCUGACGCGCCGAGAGGUAUUGCAUGGCCGCCGUCAGCUCGUGCCGUAAGGUGUCCUCUUAAGUGAGGUAACGAGCGAGACCUGUGUUUUCAAUUGGUAACGAAGUGUUAACUGAUUGUCCACAUUGAAAAGACUGCCUAGGAAACUAGGAGGAAGGUGCAGGCAACGGUAGGUCGGUAUGGUCCGGAUCCUCUGGGAUACACGCGCGCAACAAUGGUAAAGACAAUGGGAUGCAACUCCGAAAGGAGAAGCUAAGCCUCUAAACUUUAUCUUAGUCUGGAUCGAGGUUUGUAACUCAGCCUCGUGACAUCGGAAUCCCUAGUAAUCAGAGUUUAUCAUACUCUGGUGAACAUGUCCCUGCUCCUUGCACACACUGCCCGUCAAACCAUCCGAGCAGGGUUUAGGUGAAUUUUAGUUCAAGUGACUAAAAUGAACCUAGGCUCAGUGAGGCGGGUUAAGUCGUCACAAGGUA
rnacentral:rRNA from 1 species